AUGAACGCUGGCGGCGUGCCUAAUACAUGCAAGUCGAGCGAACGGACGAGAAGCUUGCUUCUCUGAUGUUAGCGGCGGACGGGUGAGUAACACGUGGAUAACCUACCUAUAAGACCGGGAUAACUUCGGGAAACCGGAGCUAAUACCGGAUAAUAUUUUGAACCGCAUGGUUCAAAAGUGAAAGACGGUCUUGCUGUCACUUAUAGAUGGAUCCGCGCUGCAUUAGCUAGUUGGUAAGGUAACGGCUUACCAAGGCAACGAUGCAUAGCCGACCUGAGAGGGUGAUCGGCCACACUGGAACUGAGACACGGUCCAGACUCCUACGGGAGGCAGCAGUAGGGAAUCUUCCGCAAAGGGCGAAAGCCUGACGGAGCAACGCCGCGUGAGUGAUGAAGGUCUUCGGAUCGUAAAACUCUGUUAUUAGGGAAGAACAUAUGUGUAAGUAACUGUGCACAUCUUGACGGUACCUAAUCAGAAAGCCACGGCUAACUACGUG
rnacentral:rRNA from 1 species